rnacentral:rRNA from 1 species
GACGAACGCUGGCGGCGUGCUUAACACAUGCAAGUCGAACGGUGAAGCGCCUUCCUUUUUGGUGGGUGUGGAUGAGUGGCGAACGGGUGAGUAACACGUGAGUAACCUGCCCCCUUCUUCUGGAUAACCGCAUGAAAGUGUGGCUAAUACGGGAUAUUCUGGGUCUGUCGCAUGAUGGGUCUGGGAAAGAUAUUGUUUCGGUGGGGGAUGGGCUCGCGGCCUAUCAGCUUGUUGGUGGGGUGAUGGCCUACCAAGGCGGUGACGGGUAGCCGGCCUGAGAGGGUGGACGGUCACACUGGGACUGAGACACGGCCCAGACUCCUACGGGAGGCAGCAGCGGGGAGUAUUGCACAAUGGGCGCAAGCCUGAUGCAGCGACGCCGCGUGAGGGAUGGAGGCCUUCGGGUUGUGAACCUCUUUCGCCAGUGAAGCAGGCCUGCCUCGUUUGUGGGUGGGUUGACGGUAGCUGGAUAAGAAGCGCCGGCUAACUACGUG